rnacentral:rRNA from 8 species
UGUUUCGGCUAGGGGGCCAUCCCGGCUUACCAACCCGAUGCAAACUACGAAUACCGAAGAAUGUUAUCACGGGAGACACACGGCGGGUGCUAACGUCCGUCGUGAAGAGGGAAACAACCCAGACCGCCAGCUAAGGUCCCAAAGUCAUGGUUAAGUGGGAAACGAUGUGGGAAGGCACAGACAGCCAGGAUGUUGGCUUAGAAGCAGCCAUCAUUUAAAGAAAGCGUAAUAGCUCACUGGUCGAGUCGGCCUGCGCGGAAGAUGUAACGGGGCUAAACCAUG